UAACGGCUAUUUGAACUAACGGUC
rnacentral:siRNA from 1 species